UACGUAGGGUGCAAGCGUUGUCCGGAAUUAUUGGGCGUAAAGAGCUCGUAGGCGGCUUGUCGCGUCGGCUGUGAAAUCCUGGGGCUCAACCCCGGGCCUGCAGCCGAUACGGGCAAGCUAGAAUUCGGUAGGGGAGACUGGAAUUCCUGGUGUAGCGGUGAAAUGCGCAGAUAUCAGGAGGAACACCGGUGGCGAAGGCGGGUCUCUGGGCCGAAAUUGACGCUGAGGAGCGAAAGCGUGGGGAGCGAACAGG
rnacentral:rRNA from 1 species